rnacentral:rRNA from 1 species
CAGUCGCCACGGGAAUACGAAGGGUGCAAGCGUUACUCGGAAUUACUGGGCGUAAAGCGUGCGUAGGUGGUGGUUUAAGUCCGUUGUGAAAGCCCUGGGCUCAACCUGGGAAUUGCAGUGGAUACUGGGUCACUAGAGUGUGGUAGAGGAUAGUGGAAUUUCCGGUGUAGCAGUGAAAUGCGUAGAGAUCGGAAGGAACAUCUGUGGCGAAGGCGACUAUCUGGGCCAACACUGACACUGAGGCACGAAAGCGUGGGGAGCAAACAGGAUUAGAUACCCCUGUAGUCCCUGUCUCUUAUAU